GAUGAACGCUGGCGGCGUGCCUAAUACAUGCAAGUCGAGCGAAUGAUGAGGAGCUUGCUCCUCUGAUUUAGCGGCGGACGGGUGAGUAACACGUGGGUAAUCUGCCUGUAAGACGGGGAUAACUCCGGGAAACCGGGGCUAAUACCGGAUAACAAGAGGAAAUGCAUAUUUCCUUUUUGAAAGUCGGUUUACGCUGACACUUACAGAUGAGCCCGCGGCGCAUUAGCUAGUUGGUGAGGUAAUGGCUCACCAAGGCGACGAUGCGUAGCCGACCUGAGAGGGUGAUCGGCCACACUGGGACUGAGACACGGCCCAGACUCCUACGGGAGGCAGCAGUAGGGAAUCUUCGGCAAUGGGCGAAAGCCUGACCGAGCAACGCCGCGUGAGCGAUGAAGGCCUUCGGGUCGUAAACUCCUGUCGGAGGGGACGAAAGCGAUCGAGGCUAAUACCUUCGGUCGUUGACGGUACCCUACGAGGAAGCCCCGGCUAACUCCGUGCCAGCCGCCGCUGUAACAC
rnacentral:rRNA from 1 species